rnacentral:rRNA from 1 species
UUAAGUUAGAAAGGGCGCACGGUGGAUGCCUUGACACUAGGAGUCGAUGAAGGACGGGACUAACGCCGAUAUGCUUCGGGGAGCUGUAAGUAAGCUUUGAUCCGAAGAUUUCCGAAUGGGGAAACCCACCAUACGUAAUGGUAUGGUAUCCUUAUCUGAAUACAUAGGGUAAGGAAGACAGACCCAGGGAACUGAAACAUCUAAGUACCUGGAGGAAGAGAAAGCAAAUGCGAUUUCCUGAGUAGCGGCGAGCGAAACGGAACAUAGCCCAAACCAAGAGGCUUGCCUCUUGGGGUUGUAGGACAUUCUAUACGGAGUUACAAAGGAACGAGGUAGACGAAGCGACCUGGAAAGGUCCGUCGUAGAGGGUAACAACCCCGUAGUCGAAACUUCGUUCUCUCUUGAAUGUAUCCUGAGUACGGCGGAACACGUGAAAUUCCGUCGGAAUCUGGGAGGACCAUCUCCCAAGGCUAAAUACUCCCUAGUGAUCGAUAGUGAACCAGUACCGUGAGGGAAAGGUGAAAAGCACCCCGGAAGGGGAGUGAAAGAGAUCCUGAAACCGUGUGCCUACAAAUAGUCAGAGCCCGUUAACGGGUGAUGGCGUGCCUUUUGUAGAAUGAACCGGCGAGUUACGAUCCCGUGCGAGGUUAAGCUGAAGAGGCGGAGCCGCAGCGAAAGCGAGUCUGAAUAGGGCGUUUAGUACGUGGUCGUAGACCCGAAACCAGGUGAUCUACCCAUGUCCAGGGUGAAGUUCAGGUAACACUGAAUGGAGGCCCGAACCCACGCACGUUGAAAAGUGCGGGGAUGAGGUGUGGGUAGCGGAGAAAUUCCAAUCGAACCUGGAGAUAGCUGGUUCUCCCCGAAAUAGCUUUAGGGCUAGCCUUAAGUGUAAGAGUCUUGGAGGUAGAGCACUGAUUGGACUAGGGGUCCUCAUCGGAUUACCGAAUUCAGUCAAACUCCGAAUGCCAAUGACUUAUCCUUAGGAGUCAGACUGCGAGUGAUAAGAUCCGUAGUCAAAAGGGAAACAGCCCAGACCGCCAGCUAAGGUCCCAAAGUGUGUAUUAAGUGGAAAAGGAUGUGGAGUUGCUUAGACAACUAGGAUGUUGGCUUAGAAGCAGCCACCAUUUAAAGAGUGCGUAAUAGCUCACUAGUCGAGUGACUCUGCGCCGAAAAUGUACCGGGGCUAAAUACACCACCGAAGCUGCGGAUUGAUACCAAUGGUAUCAGUGGUAGGGGAGCGUUCUAAGGACAGUGAAGUCAGACCGGAAGGACUGGUGGAGUGCUUAGAAGUGAGAAUGCCGGUAUGAGUAGCGAAAGACGGGUGAGAAUCCCGUCCACCGAAUGCCUAAGGGUUCCUGAGGAAGGCUCGUCCGCUCAGGGUUAGUCAGGACCUAAGCCGAGGCCGACAGGCGUAGGCGAUGGACAACAGGUUGAUAUUCCUGUACCACCUCUUUAUCGUUUGAGCAAUGGAGGGACGCAGAAGGAUAGAAGAAGCGUGCGAUUGGUUGUGCACGUCCAAGCAGUUAGGCUGAUAAGUAGGCAAAUCCGCUUAUCGUGAAGGCUGAGCUGUGAUGGGGAAGCUCCUUAUGGAGCGAAGUCUUUGAUUCCCCGCUGCCAAGAAAAGCUUCUAGCGAGAUAAAAGGUGCCUGUACCGCAAACCGACACAGGUAGGCGAGGAGAGAAUCCUAAGGUGUGCGAGAGAACUCUGGUUAAGGAACUCGGCAAAAUGACCCCGUAACUUCGGGAGAAGGGGUGCUUUCUUAACGGAAAGCCGCAGUGAAUAGGCCCAAGCGACUGUUUAGCAAAAACACAGCUCUCUGCGAAGCCGUAAGGCGAAGUAUAGGGGGUGACACCUGCCCGGUGCUGGAAGGUUAAGGAGAGGGGUUAGCGUAAGCGAAGCUCUGAACUGAAGCCCCAGUAAACGGCGGCCGUAACUAUAACGGUCCUAAGGUAGCGAAAUUCCUUGUCGGGUAAGUUCCGACCCGCACGAAAGGUGUAACGAUUUGGGCACUGUCUCAACCAGAGACUCGGUGAAAUUAUAGUACCUGUGAAGAUGCAGGUUACCCGCGACAGGACGGAAAGACCCCGUGGAGCUUUACUGUAGCCUGAUAUUGAAUUUUGGUACAGUUUGUACAGGAUAGGCGGGAGCCUUUGAAACCGGAGCGCUAGCUUCGGUGGAGGCGCUGGUGGGAUACCGCCCUGACUGUAUUGAAAUUCUAACCUACGGGUCUUAUCGACCCGGGAGACAGUGUCAGGUGGGCAGUUUGACUGGGGCGGUCGCCUCCUAAAGUGUAACGGAGGCGCCCAAAGGUUCCCUCAGAAUGGUUGGAAAUCAUUCGUAGAGUGCAAAGGCAUAAGGGAGCUUGACUGCGAGACCUACAAGUCGAGCAGGGACGAAAGUCGGGCUUAGUGAUCCGGUGGUUCCGCAUGGAAGGGCCAUCGCUCAACGGAUAAAAGCUACCCCGGGGAUAACAGGCUUAUCUCCCCCAAGAGUCCACAUCGACGGGGAGGUUUGGCACCUCGAUGUCGGCUCAUCGCAUCCUGGGGCUGUAGUCGGUCCCAAGGGUUGGGCUGUUCGCCCAUUAAAGCGGUACGCGAGCUGGGUUCAGAACGUCGUGAGACAGUUCGGUCCCUAUCCGUCGUGGGCGUAGGAAAUUUGAGAGGAGCUGUCCUUAGUACGAGAGGACCGGGAUGGACGCACCGCUGGUGUACCAGUUGUUCUGCCAAGGGCAUAGCUGGGUAGCUAUGUGCGGAAGGGAUAAGUGCUGAAAGCAUCUAAGCAUGAAGCCCCCCUCAAGAUGAGAUUUCCCAUAGCGUAAGCUAGUAAGAUCCCUGAAAGAUGAUCAGGUUGAUAGGUUCGAGGUGGAAGCAUGGUGACAUGUGGAGCUGACGAAUACUAAUAGAUCGAGGACUUAACCAU